rnacentral:lncRNA from 1 species
AGGAAAAUUAUCUGGAAAGGAUUUUCUGUUUUGUUUUAACCCAAGAAUAAUCCUGCUUUCAGAACAAACAGUGUAGGCCAUGACUGGUCUACUGAAAAGACAGAUUGUCAGUAAGUGUUUGGUCUUAAAGGAGUCAAUUAUAGAAUUUGUUGACAUGUCCUCACAAUAAUUCUUAAAUAAGUACAAUAAAGAUAGUUGAGAUGUGUACAAGGAUAGUUUUUGUGAAGUUGAAGUCUUUGGUUUUGUAAUGUUCCGUUCUUUACAAAGCCUCCCUCCCGACCUUGUUGGUUUUGCUGUCAGUGGUGGUUAACAGUCUGUUUCUCAUGACACACUUCACGGGUGGCCUCCCCUAGACAGCUUUUGGAAACUGUGGAUUAGAGAUAGCCCCACUCUGUUUCUGGUAAGAUACUGCCUCAGUAUCAGUGGUUGCCUACACUUAUCAACUGGUGCCACGUAUUCCUCAAAAUGCCAAGAUUAUAAACUGCAAGUUUCACGGGCCUUUGAAUCCUUCCAGCGUUUAGUGAAGCGGGCGCCUAACUGAACCAGCUGCUGGAGAACAGUGGAUGCUCUGGGGGGAAACUGAUGGAACUUUCAGAAUUCUGCCAAUGGAAACUACAGUGGACGAUGGCAAUUGGGACUGAGAUUUCCUGCUUGCUUCUAUCUGCAGAGCCCAUCUGAGGACUGACGCUGUCCGUGUGCACAUCCGGGAUGGAGCUCUGGUCCCUGUGCUUAAGGAGCUUCCCGGUGGGGCCACAGGUGCAGCCACCAGAGGAAGGGGAUUAGUGAUAGCUCUCAGAGAGGAGAGCAGGCUGUCCUGGGCAUUUUAAAAAAUGGCAUUUUGGUUUGGUUUUUUUUUUUUUUUUUUUGAGGUGGGGUCUCGCCACAUAACUCUGGCUAACCUGAAGCUCUUUAUAUAGUUGAAGAACUCACAAAAAACUUUCUGUUUCUGUCUCUGUCUCCCAAAUUCUGAGAUUAAAGGCAUGUGGCUGGCUUAAUAAACUGGUUGUGUGUGUGUAUAUAUGUAAAUGAAUAUCUUUCAUGAGCCACAUGUGGUGUUGCAUGCCGUUGAUAUCCCAGCACUUGGGAGGCAGAGGCAGUCAGAUCUCUUAAGCUCAAGGACAGCUUGGUCUACAGAGAAUUACAGGGCAACCAGGGUUAUACAUGGAAAUGAAGUCUCACAAAACCAUCAUUCCAAGAUUGUAGUGUUUAUCAGUGCAACUAUUCAAGUGUACAGUGUAGCAGGAUUGUUUCCGUUUGUCUGGGUAAAGGCCCAGCUGCCACUGGUUGACACUGACCUCAUGAAGUGGACACUACUUUUUAUAUGUUCUCUGUAAGAGGUUUUGUAAUACUUUUUUGAGAUUAUGAUUUUUUUCACUUAUUGAAUAAUGUCAAAUUUGAUGUGUUUUACAGUCUAUGCAUUUUAAGUUAAGCUGCCUGAAGUGUGGUUUGAGACAUGUAUGUUUAUACUGUAAGCAAUGGAAGAUAAUAGGUUUUGUCACCUGCUGCUGUAUUUGGAAACAAAGACAAAUGUUGCCUGAAGAAGUAAUUAUAAUUAGGAGUAGGCUAUUGAUGUGAUCAUUGAUAUUUUUGAGGUAAACUUGUUUGCUUUUGUGUGUAAUACCUGAAAGCUUUUUUAAGAAAAUGUAUUUUCGUGAUU